UGGGGAAUAUUGGACAAUGGGGGAAACCCUGAUCCAGCGAUGCCGCGUGAGUGAUGAAGGUCUUCGGAUUGUAAAGCUCUUUUCUGAAUGAAGAUGAUGACGGUAAUUCAGGAAUAAGCCCCGGCAAACUUCGUGCCAGCAGCCGCGGUAAUACGAAGGGGGCAAGCGUUGUUCGGAAUCACUGGGCGUAAAGCGCGCGCAGGUGGUUAUGUUAGUUUGGUGUGAAAUCCCUGAGCUCAACUCAGGAAUGGCAUCGAAUACUGCAUAACUCGAGGGCGAGAGGGAGAGAUGGAAUGGCGAGUGGAGCAGUGAAAUGCGUUGAUAUUCGUUGGAACACCGGAGGCGAAGGCGAUCUCUUGGCUCGCAACUGACACUGAGGCGCGAAAGCGUGGGGAGCAAA
rnacentral:rRNA from 1 species